UGAAUCAGUGCCAUAUCACCUGCAGCUCAAGACCGGUUACCCAAGCUAAGCAGAGCUGAGCCUGGUCAGUACCUGGAUGGGAGACCACAUGGGAAAACUAGGAUGCUGUUUGAA
ensembl:rRNA 5S_rRNA 5S ribosomal RNA